CCAAAGGCUCUUUUAAGAGCCACCCACAGCUUCAAAAAGAGCUGGU
rfam:Pelodiscus sinensis unplaced genomic scaffold scaffold2737, whole genome shotgun sequence.